rnacentral:tRNA from 1 species
GGUCUGUUAGCUCAGUUGGUUAGAGCGUGGUACUAAUAAGCUAUCCGGCUUAGCAGUAAAUGCCAAGGUCAUGAGUUCGACCCUCAUACGGACCA